CUCGCGGGGAAUCUGUGACAACCCCGGAGAAUUCAUCGGCUUCUUUCGGUGAUGAUGAUAUUGAACAAGGCUCUCCAAUGAGUAACUCAAGAGGCGAGGAAAAUGAACCUGAAGCCAAGAGAUGGUGAGUCUAGCACUUGGAUAAUUUUAAUAAUUACAUGAUAUCAGAAUACAUAUCAGACAGCAUUAAUUUUCUUUGUGUUUUUCAGGAAGGGGGAAAAUGAAAAUGAAAGCAUAUCGGCUUCGGGCAGCAGAACAGUUCGAGAACCUAGAAUUGUCGUUCAAACCACAAGUGAUAUUGAUAUCCUUGAUGAUGGUUACAGAUGGAGGAAAUAUGGACAGAAAGUCGUUAAGGGCAAUCCAAAUCCAA
rnacentral:lncRNA from 1 species